AGACGGGUAAAAAUUAGAAAAACAGCAUUUAAUAUCCACAUCCAUCAUUAGUAGAAUCCUGAAAUUGCUAGAGAACCUGUUUUUUUGUGAUAACUACUUAUGCAAUUACUUAAACUGCAUCUUAAAUUCCAUUAAGUAGGUAUAAUUUGCACUCAAUCUUUGGUCUAACUUACCAAAAAUGUAAGUUAGACCAACAGUUAAGUUAGAAAUAAAGUUAGUUUUUAAGAACUUUAUCCCGACCUCCGACGAUAUCAAUUAAUAAUUAAUUUUUGAAUACGUAUCAAAAAAUACGAAAGCGGCAGGACUCAAACCUCCGUCUUCUAGGUCCGCGCCCGACGCUCUGACCGCUAAGCUACGGUAUCGCUUACAGCCAGUGACAAAAUUUGUGAUAUCUAUGUUCACUCAGUACUGAAACGAAUGUUAUAAUGCCAUCUAGUAGCGCCACUUUGCAGCUAUGGAAACUACUUUCAAAGGCCCAUAUU